CCGUGAUUGUGAGCUGAGUCAACCUCUUUUAUAAAUUAUCCAGCCUCAGACAUUUUGUUAUAGAAAUAGAAAAUAGAAUAACAGAAGCCAAGCUAUUAAUAUGUAGGUGGACUCAGGUAAACCUGGGGGGGAAAUUUUACCGAAUGGUAGAAAGAAAGAUGAAUAUUGAGAGAUUCCUUGCAGUAUCUACCAAUGUCAGGAUGGUUUGACCUAGAAAACUGUGAAAACUGCUAAAUGUUAGUAUAAUGUGAGAAGUAACAUCAAUCACAACAACAAGAAAGAAGAAAACCACUUUGGUUCAGUGUAUGAGGAGAGGAUAAUGAAAAGUGAAGCAGCUCCUGUUCUGGUCUCCAGGGACAUCAUUAGUACUCAGUUCAGCAGGGCUUCAGCUAUAUUCUGCUGAUGAGGUGGAUUCACAUUGAGAUCCGAGGAAGAAAUGGGGGAUGAAAGGAAGACGUUUUGGAGAGGUACUUACCAAGGUAUUCACUGGACUUUUAAGUCCAUGUCAUCCAGGCCUGGUGACACGCACAUAUGA